UACAGAGGGUGCCAGCGUUGUUCGGAAUUAUUGGGCGUAAAGGGCGCGUAGGCGGCUCUGUGUGUCGGGUGUGAAAUCCCACCUCUUAAAGGUGGAAUUGCAUUCGAAACUACAGAGCUGGAGUUCCGGAGAGGAUGGUGGAAUUCCUGGUGUAGAGGUGAAAUUCGUAGAUAUCAGGAGGAACACCGGUGGCGAAGGCGGGUCUCUGGGCCGAUACUGACGCUGAGGAGCGAAAGCGUGGGGAGCGAACAGG
rnacentral:rRNA from 1 species